CACCAUCGGGAUCUCAAAGCCCGGUAAGCUAGAAGGUCAGAGCACGAGAGAGUGUUCGACACAUCUACAUCAACUUCAUGUCUGCUUACCUUCAUCAAGACAGAAAACCAGAUUAUUGUACAGGAUGUCACUCGACUUUGCUCCAAUAUUGAAGUACGUUCCUUUUAUGCAAUACGUGUGGAGACAUUUCGCUGAACAGGUACAGGCUCAAAACUUAUUAGCUACAACCUGCAUUCUUGAACAAGACACGAAAAUGGCUUAACGGAUCAUCAUGAUUUCAUCUCUAUGCACACAGGUUUUGAAUGAGGAUCUACGGCUUGUACUCGGCCAACAAGAUCGGAUGCUCAAUGGAGCAAAUAUAUGGAAUCUACCAGUUUCAUAUGAUAAACUCGGAGUAAGAUACAGGUUAUGGAGAAAUUCAGUCGAGCAAGGAUACGAGCAAGAACCCUUCAGCAAAUCAUAACACAAAGUUCACCACAGUUUUGAUAUAAUUCCAUUACCCUGCUGCUCUAGCAAAUCAAAUUAUCAGAUUUUAGCUGCAAUGAAUUGUUUGAUUUUGAUCAUCCAAGAAAUUCUGCCAAUUGGAGUAGUUCAAGAGCAAAAAUUAACAGCCAAAAUAGUCUCAGCUCAUAUUUUGUACAGCUCACUACAGCAAACCUUCCCCCUCCCCUAUCCUGUACUUCAACCCCUCAAAAGCAAGCAACAGAGAGAUCAAAAUUGUGAUGGCUGUAACAAGUGCCAAUGGCAAUUCAUCUACUUUUAUUUUUGAAGAUAAGAAUAAGAUGUAUACUUCCUUCAAUCUAUUGGCUCCUCUCAAGGCAAUUUGAAUGAACUAAAAUAUAAACAAAACAAAAUCAAGGAAAGAACAAAUACAAAUCAAUAUCUCCUCAAUUUGACUCUUCACUGCAAAAGCAUAGGACUCCUCGUACAAACUACUGAGCUGAUAAAACCCUAAUUUCACAAUCUAUACAAAAUUAUUGAGCUAAUAAGAACCAUAAUUCCCUCUAAAGCCCCGAGCCACAGUAGGGGCAGAACCUGAACGAGGCAUCGACGUGACGAGAGCAGAAAUGGCACCUCAGAGCCGCCUCCACGGCUUCCUUCUCCGGGGGGAAGAAGAGGUUGCAGUCCUUGCAGUGCAUGAGCGGCUCCUUCCC
rnacentral:lncRNA from 1 species